UUCUUCGUACUUUGAUUGGUCAGGACGGUCUGCGUACUGUUUCUAAAAUGUAAAUUAAUUCCAAUUGGUGAUCUUGGCUGUCAAUCAUAGCCUCUGCCGCUGGGUUAGGAAAUCAAUCUCGGGUCCCCUUGUAGACAAUACCACGCAUUGGAAAAGGGGGGACACGCUCAGUAAUUGAAAUAAAAUACAAUAGUAAACCAGUUAAAUAUGGAUUUAAUAUCACAGAUUGAAAUCGAAAUAUUUACUAUAAAGAUCUCAAUGAAAUCCAAAACACAGUCACUUUAAGAAAUGGGUUUGUCUGCUCUCCUUUUAACAGUAACGCAUGCCUCCACCGUAUGACUAAAUGUUUAGGUCCCUCGUGCAUAAACUAGUUCUUUUCCGCUCGGUGGCGUACAUAAAUAAACGUUGGUGGUCGUAUUUUCAAACAAUAGCUUAAACAAUUACAUGUCUUUAGUGAUUCUACUAGUAGGUUUUGCUUGAGAGACGUCAAUAAAAUAUUUAAUUGUUUGUGCGGAGCGAUAUUAGUUAUCUGGCCUCUUCAUCUCUGAAAAGGAGCGCAAGGAAAUGUGUGUGGUAGCUAUCAAUAGCUAAAAAGAAACGUAAACAAAUCAGGAGUAAUGCUUUUCGCUAGCUAGCUAGCUAGCUAGCCAACGUAUGCUAGCUGCGAAAACAGCCCUGAUAACGAUUUUGAAAGUGUAGAACUGCCAGUGUCCCCCAGGUUGUCACCCGCAAACCAGGAUUCUGCAUCCCUUUGCGAGCCAGCGAUCCAUUUAACUUACGCUGACUGGGCUACCAGACAUCUGGAUUGAGGGGAAUUUUUUUUUGGAGGGUGCAGCUAUCGGAGCUUGUCGCCCAUGGAAUCCUUACCGAAUGGAGACCAGUUUUCCCCUGCAACAGCACAGUCCCAAUCAUUGUGCAAUGAGGCAUUCGGGAGCUCAUAACUAGCCGCCUAGUGGUGCUAUAGUGCACACAAUGGAAUUUGUGACAUUACACGCCCAUCUCUGGCACCGUUUGACCAAGCGUCGGAAAAUGUGUUACAUAGUUCGCUCUUCGUGAAAACCAGACUUUCCUCAAAAGACCAUUACUUUCACCAAAUCGGAUUUUCUUCGUUUGAAUUUUUAGGGGGAAAAAACCUCAAACUGCUACUCCUACAAUAACUGACAUUUAGUGUGCUGCAUCUACGGGUUUGUCUCGAUGAAGCGUUUACUUUUCUUUUGGUUUAGUCAAAUACUGGCUAAAUGACAAGUCAGUGAACUUGCAGGAAGGUGUGGCUUUUGGAAUCGGUGUUUUUUUUUUCAUUCAACGUGUUUUAUCCGCGGCCUUCAAAAAAAAUUACAAUUCAGGCAUUUAACAGACGCAUUUCAGUGCGACUUACGCAACUUUUUCCAUAGCAUUUAGCCUGCAUCCAUUUAACAGCUGGAUGCUGAAGCAAUGCAGGUUAAGUGCCUUGCCAACGGGUACAAUGGUAGUGUCCAAUCUAGGAAUGGAACCAGUGACCUUUAGGUUACAAGACCAGCUGUAUGGUUACAAAGUAGCAUGACGUGAUUAAUGGUAUUCUUCAACAGAAAUUAAGGCAGGGCAGUAGAAACUAAGGUAAAAUCCUUGACCACACUCAUUUCCAGAUGCCAGGGCUUGUCCUCAAAGCUCAAGAAGGACUGAGAAAACUGAUGUCACUCGGAAACACUGACCUCACAACCAGAAACGUUAGCACGUUUGAUUCAUUUAUUAAUUAACCCAAUCAUUUAUGCAAUGUGCUACAUUUCUUUUAAAGCUUGCUAAUGACAGAUGAGGUUCUUGUGAAUAUUGAGCUGUGGUCUAAUCUAUGAACCAGUGAACCAAUUUUGGAGUAUACAGCUGAUUAGCUUAUUUAGCCAUUACCAAGGUUUUUACAAAAACACACAUACACGCUGGCCUUCAAGGAAAGGUUGUUGGCAUCCACGUUAACUGAACAGACUAACUAACCCUGUUCACAGACCGUAGGUGCCAUCAACGUGUAUGUAAGUCAAGGAUGGGCACCUCCUUGCCCGAGGGCUAGGGUGUACGCAUGCGUGCCUUUGUGAAAACACUGGGAAUGGCCAAAUAAGCUAAGGGUUAGCCAAGCUCGUCCAAAACUGGUUCACUCGUAGAGUUAAACUGCAGUGCAGCAUUCACAAGAACUUCAUCUGAGGUUUCCUGCAUGUAUGCACUUUCCCGUUACAUUAUUUUACAUGUAUUAAUUUACAUUUAUUAAGCAGAAGCUUUUAUCCAAAGUGACUUACACUUAAAAGACAAUCAAAGUACAUCCAUCUCAUGAAGUCACGCAAGCAACAUUUUCAGACCAGUAAAUACAUGUGCAACAACAUUAAAGUACGAAAUGUAAGUUAAGUUACAACAAACUACAACCAUAACACAGAUAUAAACAAGACAAAAUAUAACAUGAAUCAGAUGCAAAACAAUAAAGCAAACUGAAGCAAU